rnacentral:rRNA from 1 species
AGAGUUUGAUCCUGGCUCAGGAUGAACGCUGGCGGCGUGCUUAACCAUGCAGUCGAACGAUGAAGCCCAGCUUGCUGGGUGGAUUAGUGGCGAACGGGUGAGUAACACGUGAGCAAUCUGCCCCUCACUCUGGGAUAAGCGCUGGAAACGGCGUCUAAUACUGGAUACGAGCUGCGACCGCAUGGUCAGUAGUUGGAAAGAAUUUCGGUGGGGGAUGAGCUCGCGGCCUAUCAGCUUGUUGGUGAGGUAAUGGCUCACCAAGGCGUCGACGGGUAGCCGGCCUGAAGGGUGACCGGCCACACUGGGACUGAGACACGGCCCAGACUCCUACGGGAGGCAGCAGUGGGGAAUAUUGCACAAUGGGCGGAAGCCUGAUGCAGCAACGCCGCGUGAGGGAUGACGGCCUUCGGGUUGUAAACCUCUUUUAGCAGGGAAGAAGCGAAAGUGACGGUACCUGCAGAAAAAGCGCCGGCUAACUACGUGCCAGCAGCCGCGGUAAUACGUAGGGCGCAAGCGUUAUCCGGAAUUAUUGGGCGUAAAGAGCUCGUAGCGGUUUGUCGCGUCUGCUGUGAAAUCUGGAGGCUCAACCUCCAGCCUGCAGUGGGUACGGGCAGACUAGAGUGCGGUAGGGGAGAUUGGAAUUCCUGGUGUAGCGGUGGAAUGCGCAGAUAUCAGGAGGAACACCGAUGGCGAAGGCAGAUCUCUGGGCCGUAACUGACGCUGAGGAGCGAAAGGGUGGGGAGCAAACAGGCUUAGAUACCCUGGUAGUCCACCCCGUAAACGUUGGGAACUAGUUGUGGGGUCCAUUCCACGGAUUCCGUGACGCAGCUAACGCAUUAAGUUCCCCGCCUGGGGAGUACGGCCGCAAGGCUAAAACUCAAAGGAAUUGACGGGGACCCGCACAAGCGGCGGAGCAUGCGGAUUAAUUCGAUGCAACGCGAAGAACCUUACCAAGGCUUGACAUACACGAGAACGCCGCAGARAUGUGGAACUCUUUGGACACUCGUGAACAGGUGGUGCAUGGUUGUCGUCAGCUCGUGUCGUGAGAUGUUGGGUUAAGUCCCGCAACGAGCGCAACCCUCGUUCUAUGUUGCCAGCACGUAAUGGUGGGAACUCAUGGGAUACUGCCGGGGUCAACUCGGAGGAAGGUGGGGAUGACGUCAAAUCAUCAUGCCCCUUAUGUCUUGGGCUUCACGCAUGCUACAAUGGCCGGUACAAAGGGCUGCAAUACCGUGAGGUGGAGCGAAUCCCAAAAAGCCGGUCCCAGUUCGGAUUGAGGUCUGCAACUCGACCUCAUGAAGUCGGAGUCGCUAGUAAUCGCAGAUCAGCAACGCUGCGGUGAAUACGUUCCCGGGUCUUGUACACACCGCCCGUCAAGUCAUGAAAGUCGGUAACACCUGAAGCCGGUGGCCCUAACCUGUGGAGGRRCCGUCGAAGGUGGGAUCGGU